AAAGGAAUCAUGGGGACAGAUGGAUCACCAUUUAUUUCCCUAUUAUGGGGAAAUAGUUUUAAGUUUAAGAAUAUUUUGAGGGAAGGAGCCUCUCGUUAUAAAAAAGUAUGUGCGAUUUUUGAGGGACAUUUGUGGAUGCCAUUUCUACCACCCUCACCCCACUGACCAGAUUUCUGCACAUAGGGUUGUGUGAUUCGUGGCAUAGUGGUAGGUAGAGCUUUACUGUGCACACACAAUAUGGGUUGUGUUCUAGGUAUGUUCUGUCGGUGUGAACUUCUGUGAAAAAGAAUGAAAGUUUCCCUGUUGUGCUAUAAUUAGACCAUGUAGCCGGAUGCCCCAGAGCAGCUCCACCUUGUGGAUUGUAUCUUAGUGGUGAGUCCCUACAACGACUUUUCAGAGUAUCCUCACUUAAUACUCAUUUUGAUGUUAAAAUGCUAGACAGUUGGUAGUUGGAAGUGGGUACAUUUAGCCUUUCAUUUGACAUAUGCGUGAGCCAUUUCUGGGUUUUUUUGUAGGUUUUGCUCAAGCCUCCCACAUACUAAUUUUUUUCCUUAAUAACCCAUUUGGUGAAAGCACCUGAUAAAUGACAUCACAAAAUAAGAAACGUUAAGGAGAAUGUAAGUAGAACGACAUCUCAACUCUGAGACAGUAGCAGAAAUUUAACACACAGGGAUGAGGUAUCCGUAAGUGUAUGAGGGAGACCUCAUUGUGAUUCUUCAGAGAAUGGCCUGGUUCUAGUGGCCCAAAGGCUAGGCCCUGAGCUUGAAAUCAGGAAGCCUGUUCUGAUUUCAGCACCUCCACUGGCUCGCUUUGUGACCUUGGGUAAGCUGCAAGACUCCUCUGUUUGCCAGUUGGGAAAUGAGAGUAUCACAACUUAACAUUCCAAGUGGGAAGUUGGGAAUAAAAAGCAGGAUAUCUGCAAGCACUUUUGAGCAUCCUUAAAGAUGAGUGACGUUUGAAUUUUCAGCAUUGCUAGUGUUCUGUUCAAUGUGUACUUAUCUUGGUGAAGACUCAUUAGAUAUUUUUUGCCAAAAAUGAAUCAAGCUGUACCUCCUGACCCAUUACUUUUAUAAUCAUCCUGGCACCUUUAAUAUGGUUUUAAACUUAGUGCCUAUUUUGGGAGAAAUCAUGGAUUCUGUUAGCGACAUUGUUUCUUGUCCUUAUUGUAAAAAAGAAUCAUAAGACUUGUGGAUAGUUUUGUCAUUAACAUGGCAUUUUUGCUGUGCUUUCAGAAAAGUAUAACUUUAACUUUCAUAAUGACAUGGAUUUUCUUUAUUCAACGGGAGGGAAUUUCUGGUAUCUGACUAAGCACAUAGAGUAAAAGAAAUGUGGAUUGAUUAACAUGCUAUUAUAUAAACUAUGGAAGUGGAGUUUCUAAAUAUCUCCAUUGUACUGGCCGUUCACUGUCAUAUUUUUCCCUGCAGAGUACCAUUCUGUGGAUACUGGAAACUUCCGUGGAAGUUUAAUCAGGAUAAUUUAAUCAGGUGUCAAAGAGGAUUGUUGAUAAAAGUGAUUUCACCUUAGUAGUGAUUCUGAACGGGGUGUGGGCUCUUAUGAAACUAUGUUUUCUCUCCCUCAUGUGUAGAAUCACUGCCAGAGAGAGUUUAUAUUCAAUACAUGGGAGUUUUUGUACCCCCAGCGGUGAGGACCCCUGGUCCCUGAGGAGGUCCUGAGUUACAGGUGGUGAGGCUGGCCCAAGAGUCAGAAGCUAAAAGUGUCCUCAUUCAGCUGUUAGUAGAGAGAAAUGUAUUCACUGGAGCCCACACCAGUGGAGCAAAUUGUGAGAACCUGGUAGAUGAUACCAGAUUGUAUAGCUGCGCCCCGGGCAGUAGGUGUCACUGUAGUCAGUGGCUUUUACUGCUCAGAGUUGAAGGGGUUAAUUGGGUCUGGUUUAUUUGGGCAGAUAGAGGUCCAUCUGUGCCCUCCGGGCUGCUUGUCUUUGUCUCUAGGGCCCCAGUUGAUACCAAUGAAAGGCUCCAGUCCAUGCUGAAAGGCACCCUUUUUCUCUAAGAAGGGAAGAAAGAUACUCUCCCAUCUAUAGUUUAGAGUCUGAGACUAGGCUGUUUGAUGUGAUGGGGUGGGUUGAGUUGAGGUGGGUAAAUAGGUGAGAUAAUCCUUCUAAAGUCUGGUGGGGGACCUGGGAUGGAGGGGAAGGGAAAAUUCUAUUAAGAGAAAUGAAAGAAGAUGGAACAGCGGAAUACAUUUCCUUGUUGUUAUUGGCCCUGGGCCCUGUUAUAUUCAGGCGGUGUGAGCUAUCAGAACUUCUGUCGGCAUCCUCCUCAGAAAUUAAAAAAUCUCUCUAGCAGAGAUGUACUUCUCUUUUGCCACUUUCCACUCCAGAAAGUUAAUUCUCAAACGCUAAAAUGGAACUCAGGAUUUAGAAACAGCUACUGUGUUGACUAAUUAAAAAAAAAAAAUCCUAUCCUGGGAUUACACAGCCAACUGCUUUUUCAAGUACACCCACUUUUACUUUUCCUUUCCUAGUAGCACCCUGGUUUGAAAACAAAAUAAAACGGAGUAAACCCACUGGACAGUUUCAGAUUCCUCUUCUCUCUUAUUUUUUUGCCUAGAGAACCCACCUCUCUCCCCACGCACCACCCAGGCAGCACGGUGUCGUCUGUCCUUUAAACAAAACAAACAAAUACAUGAAGGCUUUCUGUAUAUGAUUUAUACCCAGAUGCUCAUUAAAAAUAGCUCCUGUCCAGUCUCCCCUCUUCCUCCCCUAGCCUGCUGGUUAGUUGUAGUUAACACCCUGAUUCAGCCCUGCUCUCAGCGAUACAAUACGCGAAGCUCAGACUGCCCCCCCCCACCCCCGGCCCCGCCCCGCCCCUCCCUGCCCCGCCCCGCUUCUGUCUCCCUCGGAGCGAGUGGCGCGUUUUAAGCCAUCCGCACCCUCGCCAGAGGCAGGUGGCGUCGCUUCCUGCCUUCCCUGCUCGCUGUUGCUAAGUGAGAGGCACCAGAUCACACAUAAAGCUGAACCAAUCGCAUCCUGACCCCCAUAGGCUGGUAAAAGCCGAAGAAAAGAGACUCCCACCGAGCGUUGUCUGUGGCCGCUUCUCGGGGCCGCAGCUGUGUCUCCAUAUUUCCCGAAGCAUGUAACGCAAGUUCCUGGCACCCGGAAGGCACUGGAAAUACCCAUUGAAUGAUCACAUCAUAAAGCCCAGGAGACCUUAAAGAUUAGGUCUGUAACUCUCCAGGUUUUCAAAUUAUAUGUGUAGAGAAGGAUGGACUUUUAUGUAAAUAUUUUAAUCAGAUCAUGAGACAGCAAAGGUCCGUGAAAUAUUAUCGUAUUUAUCCAUCAAGAGAGGGUAGGUGAUGAUAUAGUAACAAACAGCCCCCAAAUCUUAGUGGUUUGAAGCAACAAAACUCUCAUUCUUGCUCAUGUUUAUUGUGGGUCGGCCAGGGGGAAGGGGGACUCUGCUUAUCAUCAACACUCAGGGACUCACGCUUGAUGAAACUGGCCGCUAUCUCACACCAGUGGCUGAGCCAGAGGAAAGAGAGCUCUCGGGAGGGUCUAACGUCAGCAAUUUAAUGUUCCAGUCCAGAAAUGGUACCUGGCACUCUGCUCACACUUUAUUCAUCAGAACUGGUCACAUGAUCCCAUCUGACCACAGGAGGGCCAGGAAGUGCAGUUCUGCUGUGUGCCUGGAAGAUAGCAAGUUAUAAAUAUUUGGAAAAUAGCAUAAAAUAACUCCCACAUUUUAUUAUUCACUCAGAGGCUUUUAGAGGAAGUUUCUAUUUAAUACUGAGCUUGGAAGUGUAGAGAAUAUUCACAUAAUUCCUCUCCCUUUCCAUACCGUCUUCUUUCCCUCACCCACCAAGACAAAUUGCUUUGCUCGGCUCUAGAAGGCUUGGCCUCUGCAAUUAAGGGAUAAGUGGUUCUGUUUUCUCGAAGUAUGAAGUGAAGAACUUGCCCAUUGUUUAUACCUCUUCAACUACUCUCACCAAUACUUCAGAGGCUCUUAUGAUGGGUAAAUUAUGCUCUAGACACCUAUCCAGGGACUGCCUCCCAGGUUCACUUAGUGUUGUCACAGUCAGGAUCGAAGAAGAUCAGUAUGAGUUUUUAUAAAUUUAUUCCAAGAGAUUAGAGAGUAUACACAUGUUACAUACUGGCUGCAUUAUAUUUCAUAGUAAAAAAGUUGGAAACAGCCUAAAUGUCCAACGAUAGCAGAUUAACUAUGUUAAUUAUGGUAUAUGUAGAAAAUGGAGCAUGUGUCGCCAUUCAAAUUAUAUUUUAGAGGAAUAUUUAAUGAGAUUGGGAAAAUGUUCACAAUAUAUUGAUUGCUAAAUUUUUUAAAAGCAGGCACUAGAACAGAACGAAGAGCCGAUUCUGCUUUUUAAAAAUGCAUAUAACUGGAAAGAAAAAUACGAAUAUAAAAACGCAUUAUAACUGGAAAGAAAAAUGUGAAUAUGACCAGGGCUCAUCUUUCUGUGGUAAUAUUAUGAGUGGUUUUUGUGCUUUUUCCCUUGCUUUUCUUAAGUAAGCAGGAAUGACUUGUAUAGCGUAUAAAGAGGUAAUGUAAAUAUCUCUGGCAUCUGUGUUAAUUUCAAGUAGCAUACCUAGUGUUCGUUCUUUUACAUGAAUAAGAGGCACGCAAAUGACUCUCCUGCUUGGUGGAACAAAGCUGGUGCCAAGGCAGAGGUGUAGAAGCAGUGUUCCCGUGAAUCAGGAGACAGCUCGAUGUCAGUUCACACUUGUCCGGGCGUAGGCAUGUUACCAUUUCUUGCCCUUUCUUUUGCUGAGGCGCUGUAUAGAUCUUUCGUGGCAUUUUGACUUGACAUUUCACAGCUGUUGCAAAUCCACUAAGCAGGGACAUGCCACUGGCACUUUGAGGCCGCUGGUAGCACAGGGGUUUGUCAAGAGAUGCUAAAUUUGCUGAGAUAGUGAAAAACUGGCAUGUAUUUAUUUUGGGUUGAUACAAACUCCUGUGAAAUAGGGGCCCCAUUCUGGAAGAACUUGUAACACUCAUUCAUCCUGUGUUGUUCACUGAGCUCUAAUGCUACAGCUGUCAUCCACUCUCAAUGAACGAUUGUCAUAUUGUCAAUCCACAAUAAUACGGGGCAAUUUUCAUUCCCCAUGUUGAAGUAUCGUCAUUGUAAUAUAAUUCAGUUCAUAUUAACAAUGCUUUGAUGACAAUUCCUUUCCACUCCACCCUUUUAGUCCUCCCUCCUUUUCUUAACCAGAAGGAAAUGUAUUUUGACAGUAUCUCCAGUGUUAACAGUUUUCUGCUUUUAAAACAUUUUGGGCCCAUAGCCCUCAUUGAAACUUCAGAGAACAACUUCAGAGAACACACCAAUCUUUUUUUUUUCUUAUAGAACUAUCUUGGGAUUAGGUAGUGCCUUACCCACAAGAACUAAAAGUAUUGGGUUGGCCAAUAUGUUCGUUCGGGUUUUUCUGUCACAUCUUACGGAAAAACCUGAAUGACCUUUUGGGCCAAUCCAAUAUUUUUACCUGUUUGUCUUAUUUAUUCUUAAGACAUCCCCCUGGAAAAAGAACAUGUAUUACGAUUCCCUUUUUAUAAGGGAGCAUAAUUAGGACUCCGCCAUCUUCACUUUAGGGUUUACAAUCUGUUCAUUUGAAGAGGCUGCUUAUUUUUCCAAGUAUUAACAGUGAUGUCAGGAACUGCUUACGUGGUGGAAUUAACUGCCCUAAUGAAUUUAUAGUCACUGAUUUUCCCUAGAGGGGAAAUUGGUUCUACGUGUGAGUCUUCACCAAUUUUCAAGGUACUUUCCUGUCACAAUAGACUAUUUUAAACUGAUGGAGAGUGUUGUCUUUGUUAGAAUUUUCCCAAGAGCUGAAUCUAGGUGGGCACAGUUGAUAUGAUUAAAAUAUAUGGUGCAUACUUGUGAAACCGUUCCAGCUACAAUGCUGCAAUUUUAUAA